GGUUCGAUUAUGGCUCAGAUUGAACGCUGGCGGAUGCUACGUGCAAGUCGAACGGCAGCACGGACUUCAGUCUGGUGGCGAGUGGCGGGCGGUGAUAUCGUGUCGGAACGUGCCUAGUAGCGGGGAUAACUACGCCAGCGUAGCUAGCGCCACAUGCGCCCAACUUCGAGGAAAGCGGGGAGCGCUGAACUCGCUCGCUGAAACUGACCGAUAUCCGGAUUAGCUAGUUGGUGGGAAGUAACGGCUCACGCCGACGACGAUCCGUAGCUGGUUUGAGAGGACGACCAGCCACACUGGGACUGAGACACGGCCCAGACUCCUUCCCCAGAGGCAGCAGUGAGGAAUUUUGGACAAUGGGAAACCUGAAUCAGCAUCCCGCGUGUGCGAUGAAGGCCUUCAGGUUGUAAACACUUUGGCAGGAAAAAACGGCACGGGAUAAUACCGAUACAACUGACGAAAUACCUGCAGAAUAAGCACCGGCUAACUACGUACCAGCAGCCGCGGUAAUACGUAGGGUGCAAGCGUUAAUCGGAAUUACUGGGCGUAAGCGAUGCAGGCGGUUCCGGAAAGAAGAUGUGAAAUCCCAGGCUUAACUUUGGAACUGCAUUUAUACCGAGCUAGAGUGUGUCAGAAAGGGAGGUGGAAUUCCGCGUGUAGCAGUGAAAUGCGUAGAUAUGCGGAGGAACACCGAUGGCGAAGGCAGCCUCCUGGGAUAACACUGACGCUCAUGCACGAAAACAGCAGGAGCAAACGGGAUUAAAGAUACCUGAUAGUCCACCUCAAACGUCAACUAGCUGUUGGGGCCUUCGGGCCUUGGUAGCAGCUAACACGUGAAGUUGACCGCCUGGGGAGUACGACCAUAAGAUUAAAACUCAAAAGAAAUUGACGGGGACCCGCACAAGCGGUGGAUGAUGUGGUUAAUUCGAUGCAACGCGAAAAACCUUACCUACCCUUGACAUGUCUGGAAUCCCGAAAGAGAGAUUUGGGGUAUAUAGAGAACCGGAACACAGGUGCUGCAUGGCUGUAAAUACGACUCAAUAUCAGCUGAGAUGUUGAGUUAAAUUCGCAACGAGCGCAACCCUUGUCAUUAGUUGCUACGAAGGGCACUCUAAUGAGACUGCCAGUGACAAACCGGAGGAAGGUGGGGAUGACGUCAGGUCUCCUCAUAGCCCUUAUGGGUAGGGCUUCACACGUCAUACAAUGGUCGGGACAGAGGGUCGCCAGCCCGCACGAGGAGCCAAUCCCGACCCGAUCGUAGUCCGGAUCACCAGUCUGCAACUCGACUGCGUGAAGUCGGAAUCGCUGGUAAUCGCGGAUCAGCAUGUCGCGGUGAAUACGUUCCAGAUUAACAUACACACCGCCCGUCACACCAUGGGUGGGUUUUACCAGAAGUAGUUAGCCUAACCGUAAGGAGGGCGAUUACCACGGUAGGAUUCAUGACUGGGGUGAAGUCAUAUAAAGAUAA
rnacentral:rRNA from 1 species